rnacentral:rRNA from 1 species
CCUACGGGAGGCAGCAGUGGGGAAUAUUGCACAAUGGGGGAAACCCUGAUGCAGCGACGCCGCGUGAGUGAAGAAGUAUUUCGGUAUGGAAAGCCCUAUCAGCAGGGAAGCAAAAGACGGUACGUGAUUAAGAAUCCACGGCUAACAACGAGCAAGCAGCCGCGGGAAUACGUAGGGGGCAAGCGUAAUCCGGAUUUACUGGGUGUAAAGGGAGCGUAGACGGCAGCACAAGUCUGGAGUGAAAUGCCGGGGCUUAACCACGGAACUGCUUUGGAAACUGUGCAGCUAGAGUGCGUGAGAGGUAAGUGGAAUUCCUGGUGUAGCGGUGAAAUGCGUAGAUAUUAGGAGGAACACCAGUGGCGAAGGCGGCUUACUGGACUGUAACUGACGUUGAGGCUCGAAAGCGUGGGGAGCAAACAGGAUUAGAUACCCUUGUAGUC